rnacentral:rRNA from 1 species
AACAUGCAGUCGAGCGGGGAGGGUAGCUUGCUACCUGACCUAGCGGCGGAGGAAGAGGGUCCGAUAGGAAUCUGCCUAUUAGUGGGGGACAACAUUAAGAAGGGAAUGCUAAUACCGCAUACGCCCUACGGGGGAAAGCAGGGGAUCUUCGGACCUUGCGCUAAUAGAUGAGUAUAAGUCAGAUUAGCUAGUUGGUGGGGUAAAGGCCUACCAAGGCGACGAUCUGUAGCGGGUCUGAGAGGAUGAUCCGCCACACUGGGACUGAGACACGGCCCAGACUCCUACGGGAGGCAGCAGUGGGGAAUAUUGGACAAUGGGCGAAAGCCUGAUCCAGCCAUGCCGCGUGUGUGAAGAAGGCCUUUUGGUUGUAAAGCACUUUAAGCGAGGAGGAGGCUACUUGGAUUAAUACUCUAGGAUAGUGGACGUUACUCGCAGAAUAAGCACCGGCUAACUCUGUGCCAGCAGCCGCGGUAAUACAGAGGGUGCGAGCGUUAAUCGGAUUUACUGGGCGUAAAGCGUGCGUAGGCGGCUUCUUAAGUCGGAUGUGAAAUCCCUGAGCUUAACUUUAGGAAAUUGCAAUUCAAUACUGGGGAAGCUAAGAGUAAUGGGAAGAGGGAUCGGUAGAAAUUCCCAGGUGUAAGCGGGGGGAAAUC